rfam:Bombyx mori DNA, contig: Bm_scaf514_contig43567, strain: p50T/Dazao, build 2, whole genome shotgun sequence.
UUAACUCGAAAUUUGUAUGGAGUUGGAACUGCUUCCCUUCUUUUGUCGCUAGGGGCGCUGUUCCAACUCCAUACAAAUUUGAAUAA